UCGGAUCUGGGUCCGGAUCCGGCGGGAGCGGGCGGCAGCGUGGGCGGUCGCGCCGCCUCGGCCUCGACUGCGCCAGAGCCGCCUCCCCGACCCCGGCCGUGCCGACUACGUGGGGUGAGCUGGCCGGUCGGCCAGGAAGAAUGUGGCGACGGCAGCCACAAUGAGGCGCAGGAUGAGCGGCCCCUCUCUUUCUCUACCUCCCGGGGAUGGCGGGUCGUCGUGCGAGUCGGAUGGGGACAAGGAGCCUAAGGAUGGUGAUGGCGAUGGGGUCGGGACUCGGGAGGUUCCAUCAGAUGGUGGCGGCGGAGGGUGUGAGGCAGGACGCGCUCGUGGCAGUGCUGACGAAGGUGGACACGCGGGCGCUGGUGCGGCGGGGCGACAACGAUGGCGCGGAGGCUGCCCCCGACAUGAUUCCGCUCUCUGUGCGCACCAUCAUGUAUCUCUGCGCUACAACACUAUGCUGCGUGCUGCUGACGUCGUCGUCCACCACGACAUCCUCUCCAUGCUCUGCUCUCAGCUCCUGGCCAUCGAGUAUAUCGAUGUCACUAAGCAGCAUGGUAUUUUAGCAUUUUAGGGACCAUAUUAUGAAAGCGCAACUGAUGUCUUGGAAGAAGCUUUUUGAGGAUUACGUUGGCUAGCCUGUUCUAGCAUCCAGCUUUGGUGUAAUGAAGAAACCGUGUGCAAUCAAAAUGAAAGAGGAAAGGUUGAGAAGAUAAGUUGUGGGCGCAGUUGAUUAUGUGAAGUGAUGUGAGUUUGAUGGAUGGCAUCAAUGUGUUUGGUCCCUUCAAAGCAAAUGGUUCAAAAACCGUACAACUCCCGAAGGAGCGGGCGGGCAAGCCACACCCAAAGGAGAACUAAACCAACAACGAUCCAAAUCAAAGUUGCAGUCCAGUCGUACCCCGAGCUGCAAUCGGAACUAAGCGACAGCGGAAGCAUUCUGCAAAGGCAGACACCACAGACAGCGUUGGGUGCGGAAGCGACCUCCUACUCGAAAUCCUCGGCGACGAAGUCCAGGUCUUCCUCUGAAGCAACAAAACAAAGGUGAGUACAAAAGUACUCAAUAAGUCCAACCCCAACCACAGAGGGGGAAACAAUCAAGAAUAUGCACAGGAUAUAACAAGGAUAUGGCUAAGGCUUAAUUGCAUUAAAGCUAGAUUUUAACACAUGCAAGGGUUCAUUUUCAAAAGAGUUUUUCCCAAGCAUUUCAUUUUGUAUCCGAAUCAUUAAGUGGGGUUGAUCCUACACAAAGGAUCCAAGUUUUAAUGAUACCGGACUCCCCGCCCGCAGUAGCUCACGGCAUAACUGCCGAACACUUCCGAAAUUUAACACACGCCAUGAAAAUCAUCCAUCUCCAAACACUAGUUAUGU